rnacentral:rRNA from 1 species
GACGUAGGGCGCAAGCGUUGUCCGGAAUUAUUGGGCGUAAAGAGCUCGUAGGCGGUUUGUCGCGUCGAAUGUGAAAACACGGGGCUUAACCCCGUGCCUGCUUCCGAUACGGGCAGACUAGAGGUAUGCAGGGGAGAACGGAAUUCCUGGUGUAGCGGUGAAAUGCGCAGAUAUCAGGAGGAACACCGGUGGCGAAGGCGGUUCUCUGGGCAUGUCCUGACGCUGAGGAGCGAAAGUGUGGGGAGCGAACAGG